AAGUCGUAACAAGGUUUCCGUAGGUGAACCUGCGGAAGGAUCAUUCAAAAUAAAAGUGAAUUUUUAUGGCACUUUUAAAAAAAUCCAUAUCCACCUUGUGUGCAAUGUAUGAGAGAGAAAAAAAGAAAUUUUUUUCCUCUUUCUAUAUUAUCAACUCUUUGCCUUGAACCAGUUUGUCUGAAAUAAAAAUAUUCUUUUGAAUAACUUAAUUCAAAAAUACAACUUUCAACAACGGAUCUCUUGGCUCUC
rnacentral:misc_RNA from 1 species